UGGCGCCCAACGUGGGGCUCCUGGCAUGGGGGACUUAACGAGGGAGCCGUUUAAGAACGCAGGCUGAAAGUGAAAGUAAACUGAAUCAAGGCCGAGGCCUGUGUGGAUGACCACCCAACGUGCCGCCCGAGUCACAGUGAGUGAACGGCAACCCCACUGCCUUUCCCCGACAUGGGUCAAGCAUUGAGCGAACAUGAAUUGUUCGUGGGAGGCCUUAGCAAGGCAUUAAAGACAAGAGGGGUAAGGGUUAGAACAAAAGAAUUGUUGCAGUAUUUUCAGUUUAUCCAUAAAGUUUG
rfam:Cavia porcellus supercont2_8 genomic scaffold, whole genome shotgun sequence.